UGUAGGGAGGCAGAUUUUGUACAUUAAAAAUUGUACAAAAUCCAUCAAUCCCUUCCUUAAUUGGUGGAUCUGGUUCCUUUCACCAAUCAAAAUCCUUCAAUCCCUCUCCACCACUCACAUCUUUUCCCUCUCUUACCUCACCAAUCAGGAACUCCCUCUCAUUGUCAUUUUCAAAAAGCAACUCUUUCUCUCUUCUCUCUCUCCCCGAAGACUCCCUCUCACACUCACUCUGCAAUUCCCUCAAAUAGACACCAAAACACACAAACAUGGCUUGAAAACCACACCAUCAAACUCGUCUCACCACCAUGAACACAACCGUGCCCUUGGAUCGUGGUUUGACCGAGUUUUGGACAUCGAACUCGAAAGGUCCGACUUGGCUUAGUUUCUCCCCAAUGAGUUGUGAACGAGUUAUGAGUUUUUAGGAAGUCUAAAGGCCUCCACUCAAUUCCCCAAGGUCUUCAGUGAAGGUUUGUUGGAAGCUUUGACGUGAAACAACCUGGUUUCAAGAAACUGAGUUUUUGGCCUAACCUUUCGAGCCAAUUUCAAGCCUUUUCCCGUCCAUUUUUGGACUUCCAAAAGAUUACGGCGAUGGACUGCGGCGACCAGCGAGGACCACCGGAGAAGAUGACGGAAUAUUCUGUCAAAGUUGAUGGAAUAUUCUAACGGCGUCAGGUAAUGCCGUUAAACUCUGUUAGUUAUUUAACUGAAUAUUCCUGACGGAUGUCAGGGCCUUGCCUGCGUGUGGUGGUGCGUAUAGCCGUACCUUAGCCGACGCAUCCGGCAUCUGAUUGACCUUCUGUCAUUUAUUGUAAGUUUUUGAUGUCGAGUAGAUCGAUUUCGUAUAUUCAAACCCUAUGUUUGAGCAGUCUACGGAGGUUUUAUUUAAGUUUUCGUAUAUGUGUUAUUAAACUAAUUAAAUUAGUAAUUCCACAUAUAAGGGAAAUGUAUCCCGAGGACAUGCGGGAUCAGGCAAGGCUCGGAGGUUAUGAUUCGACAACAUAUUUGUAAGUGGGCAGUUUGUUUUUAUA